rnacentral:lncRNA from 1 species
GAUUUUUAAAAAAUUGGAUGCAAUGCCCCACCACUGAUGUCACAGACCCCCCAAUUACUCCGUCCACAGAUACUUGGUCCCUGGCGCGAAAUCACCCCAGCUCCCCGCGCCCAGAAAGGUUAAACUCUCGCUGCGGGCGACUUCCGCUUCCUGGCCUAAAUCUGACACGUACUAUUCCCCCCGUGGCAACUACCCAGGGUCGGUGACAGCCGAGGAGCCGGGCGAUGCCCUCAGCCGACGGGGGGACAGAGGCGCCGGCAGGGUUUCUUGGUGCCUCUGCGGAGUCCCUGGGCCAGACCCCAUAGUGAAGGCUGCAGGAUCUUCCUUCUGGCCCCAGCAGCUCUGGCUGAGUCCACAGGUGCCCGCCUGGCUUCAAGCUUCUGGGAAGAGCGGAGUUGUCAACAAGAGAGCCGGAGGGCUGAGGCCCGGUGGGAACAUGCCAGCUAACCGGAGCUCUCCCCAGUGGUCCUCAGCCCUGGCUGCAGAGAAACAUGGCAGCUUGUGUAAGGGCAGAAGAAUCCUUUUCUUUGGAACUUAGAGGAUGGCAGGGUAGUAGAGUGACCACAGUCUCUAGGGCCCUUCUAAUUCUUCCUCCUCCUUUCGAAGAUGAAUAAAAUGCCCUGAGAAGGGACAUGACUUGCCCUGCCACCCAGAUCGUGAGUGACAGCAUUGGAGUGGAACCAGGUCUUCUGAAUGUGUCCCCCACCCUCACCACACUACAGCCAAGACCAAGUUUCCCACUGAAAAUUCCCCUCGAGAUUCUGUAAACAGAGGAAGACGAUGAGAGAGCCAGACCCUGCCCGACAGCUCCCUCCUUCUGACCUUCCUGUGGAUGCUGUCACCUCUGGCGACAGGCUGAUUGUCACAAGGACUCAGGGCCAUGUGGUCAUUAACAUAAUAUUACACUUUUAAAAAUUAUUUUGAUUUUUUUUAAAGAUUUUAUUUUUUUCCUUUUUCUCCCGGAAGUCCCCCAGCACAUAGUUGUAUAUUCUUCGUUGUGGGUCCUUCUAGUUGUGGCAUGUGGGACGCUGCCUCAGCAUGGUCUGAUGAGCAGUGCCAUGUCCACGCUCAGGAUCCGAACCGACGAAACACUGGGCCGCCUGCAGCGGAGCGCGCGAACUUAACCACUCGGCCACAGAGCCAGCCCCAAAAUUAUUUUGAUUUUUAUUAUUUCAUAAUUUCAUUAUUUCACAAUAAAAUUU